UUCGGAGUAAAUUUUGGGACCGAGACACUGACCUGAAUUUUGUUACUUUCUAGCACUGGAUCGUUCUCUGUAUUCCACCGUACGUUCCUCAAACUGUCUGUUACACUCCAAACUUUGACCGAGAGGAGGGGGUACCUGCAAAGGCACUCCGACGCUCAAGUUAGGCGUCUGUAGUAUGAUGUUCUCGUAUCUCAGCAAGGCAAUGCUCAGAGUGAGAAAAAUUUGGUAGAGGAAUUACUGGUGAUCAAAGAGGAGAAUGUGAUGAAUGUAAGCCUACCUUGUUUGAAGUCCUUGGUUCUCUAUUUAUAGGCCUUGAGUUGAUAUAAGAUUAACAGGAAUAUAAACACAAUAAAAUAUUAACAAACUUACUUUAUUUCCUCUAAACAGCUUCCUUUAUAUCUCUAAUUAGAUAUUAUUUGAUUCCCCAUAUCACAUUAUCUGAUUUCUGGUAUUUUUAGUGAAAGACCUUUUAAUUUGUAGAUGGGUUAUCAGCCCAUUAAUAAGUCGCCCAAUUAUGGCCCAGCAUGAUGACUGACUUAUUAUCUUGUUGACCGGUCGUUUAGAAAUCGACUGUUGGAGGUAUCCUACUGUACAUCAUUUCUCCCAAGUCCGAGUUAAGCGCACGAUUUGUUGGGUGGCUUAACUGUAGGACUUUUAAAGUGUGAUUUGAAGGAGGACGAGCGCUGGUUGGUUAUUAGGUGUGACCACGUGUGUCUUUGGAACGACAUAACUAUGUUGUCGUUUUAACAUGAUUAGCAUUUUCCCGCUUUUGAGGUAGUGGCAGAGUUGUCAAAAAAGAACCGUUGGAUCAUCUUUAUCCAACAGUGCGUAUUGAAUGGCGGUUUCGUCAGUUUUCACGCAUUAAUGAAAUAGGUUUUCCUAGGCGAACUCAACUGUCAUUUCAGUGUUUGCAUCUCCUUUCGAGUUUCUGAAGUUCCUCUUGAAGCUUCUUCAAUCUGCAUUUGCCUUUAGGUCUUCCUCUCUAUCUCAGGUAACAAUGGCUUCUUUUUCUGUCGUUUAUUCUCUAUCUAAAAGUGAGGAAAGUGGGCGUGAUAACUGGCCUGAUGCUCAGGUGGAAGUUGUUGAUUCCAUUUCUUCUCUUCUUAGUGGGGAUAGAGUAUUCGUGAGUGGGGGAGUUGUCGUUGACGGCCCAGAAGAGGGUUGUUCGACUUCACCUUCCGACUAUGAGUGGGCUUCUCACGAAGUCGGCGAACAUAGCACCUUUUUUUGUGAACAAAACUAUAUUAUUAGAAUGGGUGAAUAACAACUGCGUUCUUAGAACUUUAGGUUAUAAUGUUGCCCUUAGACUCAUAGCUUGUAGGAGAGACGAAAGGGUUUUCCACGGGGAAGGUAUAGUCGGAGGGCACUGUUUUUAUUUUUAUCUGUGCUUGUUGUAUGACAUGUAUGUUAGGUUGUCUUUCAUUAGAUUUCAAAUGGAUGUGUUACGAACCUUGAAUGUAGCCCCUUCGCAGUUACAUCCGAAUAGUUGGGGCUACAUUCAAGCAUUUGGUGUGUUAUGUCAGACCUUAGACAUUCAUCCCACAGCUAAAUUAUUUAUGUACUUUUUCAAAACACGUCCAAAUGCCAAAAAGGGUUGGGCGUCCCUAAGUUCGGUUGCCAAAAAUGCCAUCUUUCAAUUGUUUGUUGAGUCGUAUAAAGACUUCAAAGACCACUUUUUUAAAAUUUCUAUUACCAACUUGGGUCAUUCGUUUUUCCUGUGUGAGGAUGGUAGUCCCAAAUUUCCAUUAUAUUGGACCAAAAAUCCCCAAACGAUAACUUCCUGGUCUUUAGAGGAUAUGACCGACACUGAAUGGAAGGAUCUAGACGUAUUAGUCAAGUUGCCUCGUCCGUUUUCCUCACGGAAGAUAGUCAACUGCCUUAAAUACAAUGACUUCAAAUCGAGGGUGUUUGGUAUGUUCUUUGGCUGAAUGUUUUGAUAAUUUGUUUAAUGAAUCCUCAUUCGUGUUUAUUGGUACCUUUUUUACAAAAGUCAUGGGGAAAAAGGGUGGUCGCGAUUGGUUCAAGCUCUCCCAAGCAGGCAGUACCUCCGGCGUUCCGAGAGUCGUUGUUCGUCCGGUGGCUGCCGCUACCAGUAUAGUAUACUGGUGGUAUGCGUAGAGGAUCCUCCUCCUUCCCCUGAACAGAUAUUGACACGGAAGAGAAAGGCCAGUCGGGCAGAGGGGAUGCAAGCGCAUCCCACAAAGGAAAGAAAGUUGCUACAGAGUCGGUGGAUGUGGUCGCGGAACGUUCCCUUCCACUAGGCAUGUGGGAUCCUAGUUUCGAUCUUCGUCACAAGAUCGAAUUUAAUUUUGAUGCCGCAGAAGAGAAAGUGAUGUGUGAGAUGUCCGAACAACAAAUGACGGAAUUUUUGCUUGAUAAUGCGCUUCGUGGUGAGGCCGGGGCUUUCAAGAUGGUCUAUGCCUCCAACAGAGGAAACCUGCAUUCAGAAGUCAAACGCUUGAAAAAAAAGUUGGAGGAAGCUAAGGAAAACCUUAAGAAGGCUAACACUGCACAUGCUGAUUGUGCUAAAAAUGCCACAGAAACUACUAAGAUGAUAACGAACACAAAAGCAUGAGGUGUCGUGCUGCGAGUGCUCCCUCCAUGAUGAGGGAGAAAGAAACAGCAAUCACAAAAGCCAAAAUCAUCAAUUUCUUAUACUCACUCUCCAUAUCUAUCUUUUCUUCAAUCUCUGCACAUUCCACACACUUUCACCUUCCCUUUUAUACACAUCAAAUUAUCAAAUCAACUUCCUUAACAUUGUACAUGUUUAGUAUUUUUAUUACUUAUUAAUAUGGUUUCUUACGUGUUUGGCAAUCCAACAUUAAUAGGGUUAAAAUAUAUUAUAAUAAAAUUAAAAUUUUAAUAAUGAUAUAAAAAAAAAUUAUAAGAAUAUUUUAUUAAUAUAAGUCAAAUCAUUUUAAUAUUCCAAAUUAAUAUAAAAGAUAAAAAAGAAAAUCACGCAAUCAUUAAUUCUGAUAAUAAAUAAUAUGUACUAAUACUGCAAUUAAAAAAAAGUUAUAUAUUAUUAGUGUGGUGACUUCCCGGAUACCACGGCGAGUUGCAUUGCCAUACAAAUUACUGAGUUGCAUGAUUGAGUGAGAAGGAUUUUUGUUUUUGAAACAAAAAAGUAUCUUACUUUUUGAAUUAACUUAGAAGUCAAAUUUAUAUAUAUAUAUAUAUAUAUAUAUAUAUAUAUAUAUAUAUAUAUAUAUAUAUCAAAUGUAUGUGAUAUAAUAUUAAUGAUAUAUCUUCUUCUGACGUUAUCGAACUAUGAACAAUAGUAUUUUACCGAGCGGUUGUAGAGAACUGAAGAUUAACGAGUAGUUACAGUAUACUAGAGACUAUUGAACAGUUUGAGGGUAUUGAAGACUACUAAACAGUUACAGGUAGUGAACAGCUGCAAGGCUAUCGAGCAACUAUAUACUAUCAAACAGUAGAUACUCAGAGUUGCAGUGUCAUAAAAUUAUUUUGUUAAUUCUGUUUUCUUUUUCCUCUUCCUCUUUUGUAUAUAUUAUUUGCCUCCGCUAUAUCCAAAACACUUUUUCAAUAAUAUUCAUUCACAGUUAUGUUUUUCUCUAGAGUUCUUGUUUCUUUUUCUCAAACACUUACAUGGUAUCAGAGCUUAAUGUUUUUCUCUUUCUCAAACACUUACAUGAUAAUUCAUUCUGCAUUCAUGCAUACUCUGAUUCUGAUUAGGCUACUUGUGCUACCACUAAAAGAUCCAUCUAUGGUUUUUAUGUUUUUAUUGGAACUACUCUUAUCUUUUGGAAGUCAAAGAAACAAACCAUCGUUUCUAAAUUUUCUUAUGAAGCCGAGUACAGGUCCUUAGCUUCUCUAACUUGUGAGCUGCAAUGACUGCAAUAUCUUUUAAAAGAUCUGCACAUACCGUGCCCAACUCCUUACUCAGUCUAUUGUGAAAACAAUUAUGCCAUCCACAUUGCCAAGAAUCCUACUUUUCAUGAAAGAACCAAACAUAUAGAUAUAGAGUGCCACAUUACUAGACAAAAGCUUCAAGACGGUCUUAUCAAGCUUUUUCAUGUAUCUUCUACUAAUCAACUUGCAGAUGUUUUCACCAAGUCUUUUUAUCCUUCUCCCUUUAAUAUUAUUACUUCCAAGCUAAACAUGCAUAAUAUCCAUAUUCAUCUUGAGGGAGGGUGAUAGAGAUCUUCACAGAUAUUUUCUUCUAUUGUUACCGAACGGUGAACAAUAGUAUCUUACCGAACGGCUGCAAAGAGCUGAAGACUACUAAGCGGCUGUAGUAUACUACAGACUACCGAACGGUUUCAAAGUACUGAAGACUACCAAAGGGCUACAAGCAAUGAGGCUACCUAUAUAUUACCGAAUGUCGCAACCGAAAUUGCGACGGGACAACAAUCCAAAAAAGAACGAUUUUGAAAAAGAGUUUUAAGUCGCCACUAUAGUUUAUUUUGGAAAACUAUAGGAAAAACCGUAAAAAGAUAAGACAAGGUCUAUGAAAAACAAAUUUCAGGUUUAGGAGUCAAUUACGUGUAGGAAAGGUAUUAGCACCAUACAAUACCUGCCCGAAGACCGUACAUUCAAUUAAAAACGUGAUUUGAAAUGUUUAAUUAUCCCUAAAAAUAAAACUCUAAGGAAACAAAAUAUAUUUUUUUUGUUUUGAAUAUUUAUAAUAAAAAGAGAAAAUAAAAAUAAAAAUAAAAUAUGAUAAAAAGAGAAAAUAAAAUAAAAUAAAAAAGGAGUGCAAAGGUGCUUAAAUAAGAAAAGGGGUGUUCAAACCAACUUUAGUUCUGGGUUAAAGCCCAAGUGAAAAGAGGGUGAGAAUGAAAAACAGGGGUGUGCAAACCAAUUUUAGUUCUAAUGACAGACUAGGCCUAAGCCCAAGUCCAAAUGGGGUGUGAAGAUGAGAAUAUGGGGUGCGGAUGAGAAUAGGGGCUCGAGGCCCAGUAGAAAAAGGAAUGGGGGUUCCUAAAUGAGAAACGGUGGGUGCAAAGGGGAAAAGGUUUUUAUAUUUUUAUUAUUGCUUUUUCUUAGAAAAAAAAGAAAAAAGAAAAAAAGAAACGAACUGGAUCUGGCCCAAAGGUUCCCAGUUGAAACUUUAGGGGUCUGCUCAAUCCUUCCUCAUUCUUCAAUUCAGUUGCCAUGAGCGAGACCCCAGGGUCUCCUUUUCCAAGCUAACCCCAAGGGCACUCAUUCCCGCCGCCGGUGCCUCUUCCAAAACGGCCACCGCAAGGAGGCCCUCCGCUGGUCCAUGACGUCGCCGGCGACCCCAAGUGCAACCACAGUCGCCGCUGGCCGCAGCGCCACAUCUUCUUCUCUGCCCUUUUUGGCGUGCGAGAGGUGAACUCGCCUUCCACUCGCGCCGCACCCCAGUCGCCGCUUCUCGGACCACAAACCAGGGUCGCGCCGGCGAUGUGACUCGCCGCCGGAGCUGUCACCACUCGACCCAAGGCAUCGCCGACUACACCCAUCGUCAACGGGAACCGUCCCCGCGCGAGAGAAAGGCCGUGGCUCGAACUGCGACGAGUUUCCACCACCACGAACGAAACCACCGUCGACGAAGAUGUCCGUCGCCGCCAUCGCCGGAGUUCGCUUCCUCACCGGCGCCAUCGGCACCACUCUCCCUCCUCCCCGUUCAAGGGUUUUCUUUUCAAAUGCUAAACGUCCCCAGCAGCACCAUCGCCGGUGCCGAGGACGAAAACGCUUUUCCCUCCCGUUUUUCAUUCCAUUUUUUUUUAUGUCAUUUUUUGAUUAGUUUGGUAUUGAUUGAUUCUUCCUCUCUAUGAAUGUAUGUUGUAUGCAUAUGAGUGUGAGUGUGGGUAGGAAAGUGAUGGUUGGCGACCAUUUUGAAUUAAUCAGAUGAAAGGUGCAGCACAACAGUGUUGAGAGAGGGGCCGAUCGGAUAACUGUUUUAUGCUUCAGGCCGAAGAUAACAUAAAUUUGGGACUGGGUAUUGAAGUCAUGGAAGAUGAUGAACUGAUGAUACAGUCCGCAACGUCAAUCUGCCAUCCUUGUUUGAAGGCGCUGGACAUAGUAGAGGAUAAAAUGGCUUGUUCUAAAGAACAAGCUCUGAGCAUAUUGAUGCAGGUGAAAGAUAAUCUUGAGAUAGAAGGCAGCUGCGACAGAUAUUGUUUCCCUAGAUUGAGGGGAACCUAUGGUUUGCUGGAGGAAAAAAACAGCGUCUGUUUUUCUAUUGUUUUCUAUUCUGGAAAUGUCUGCCUCUGUUUCCUUCUUAGUACAUGUUUUCUGGGGUGAAUAAAAGGUAUUGAAAUCUUGACGUUGGGGAACAUAUACUAUUUUCUAUUGUGCUGAAUAAUCUUGCAGAAACUUCAUUUUGGGUGUAGUUUUGAUUAACAGAGGAUGACACCAAAAAAAAACACAACUAUAUACAUUGAUCCAACAUCACUCAUUCAUCUCUUGGUACAGGAAGACUUACCUUCCAAGGUUCUUGUCCUCUUUGUUCUCUUGGAUUGAACUUCUUUUGGCUUCCAAUGGUCUUGCAGGCGUAAGAAGGUUGAAUGGGAGGUUCAAGGAUGGCAACCAAAGUGAAGGCAAACGAUUCCCUCUUCCUCUCCGUGAGGUCUUCUACUCUGUUUUGAUAUUGUGUGUUUUUUACUGAAGCUCACAGGAAGCCCUCCCAGGCAGUGGUUGUGAUCUGAUUCCCUCACUGUUCCCCCGCUGUAUCUUUUUUAGAAAACCAAUUUUCAAGAAGGCUCCCUUCUCUGCUGUGGAAUUUCAUGCUUGUCUUUUUCCUUUUCUCGUGUAUUCAUUGUAUCAGUUGACAAAAGCUCUUCAAAAAAUCUUUCUCCUUUGAUGAAUCUUUGCAGUCUUACUUAAAAGGAAUUUCAGCAAGAAGACCAAGAUCUUUUUUCACUGCCAUCAUGGUUAUCAAACUUACGACUUUGCGUUUUUAUACAUAGUUUCCGAGUUAACAAACUCACUUUUGGUAUAAACUCGGUGGAAUCGGAAGCAAAUUCGGCCAAACUCGAGAGUUUGCAAUCGAAUUUGUGAGUUCAGAUGAGAAAAAUUUUAAACCCAAAGGAAAACUUGCCGAGAAUAGAUUGGCUUCUCGCUGCAUGAUUGAAUGUCUCCUCAGUGCGUCGCUCAUUACUCGUGGUGCCACUGCUUGCGCACCGCCCGUGGUGCCACCAUAGUCGUUCACUUGUAGUUUGUAUCUCUCUUCUCCAUCGCUGGUUUUUUUUCUAGAAAAGGUGAGCUUUUUCUGUUGUCCCCUAGCCAUGUACCGCAUGUCUUCUUUAUUCUAGAAAAGGUGAGUUUGUUCUGUUGUCCCCUGCACAUCAUUUCUUGGAAGAAGUGAAGUAAUUUAGGGGAUUUGAGUUUUUUUUUGGGUCCGCCAGAGGAAUGGAUUUAGGGUAGCUUUUAGGAAAG
rnacentral:lncRNA from 1 species